rnacentral:rRNA from 1 species
CGGGAAUUUUGGGCAAUGGGCGAAAGCCUGACCCAGCAACGCCGCGUGAGGGAUGAAGUAUUUCGGUAUGUAAACCUCGAAAGAAUGGGAAGAAUAAAUGACGGUACCAUUUAUAAGCUCCGGCUAACUACGUGCCAGCAGCCGCGGUAAUACGUAGGGAGCAAGCGUUGUUCGGGUUUACUGGGCGUAAAGGGCGCGUAGGCGGCGCGGUAAGUCACUUGUGAAAUCUCUGAGCUUAACUCAGAACGGCCAAGUGAUACUGCUGUGCUAGAGUGCGGAAGAGGCAACCGGAAUUCUUGGUGUAGCGGUGAAAUGCGUAGAUAUCAAGAGGAACACCUGAGGCGAAGGCGGGUUGCUGAGCCGACACUGACGCUGAUGCGCGAAAGCCAGGGGAGCAAACG